rnacentral:rRNA from 1 species
GACGAACGCUGGCGGCGUGCUUAACACAUGCAAGUCGAACGGACAGGCCCUGCUCUUGUUGCUUGCUCGUGUGGCGCACGCGUGAGUAACACGUGAGUAUCCUGCCCCUGUCUUUCUGAUAUCACCUGGAAACUCCGGCUCUUAUCGCAUAGGAUCUCCUGCUGCAUGUUGUUCGUUGGAAAGUUCCGGCGGUUCUGGAUGUACUCGCAGCUUAUCGGCUUGUUUGUGUAGUAGUGGCUUACCAAGGGUUUGAGGGGUAGCCGGCAUGAGAGGGGGAACGGCGACAAUGGGACUGAGAGACGGCCCAGAAGCGUACGGGAGGCAGCAGGGGGGAAUAUGGCAGAAUGGGCGGAAGCGUGAGGCAGCAACGCCGGGUGCGGGAUGACGGCCUUCGGGUGGUAAACAGAUUUGGCCUGUGACGAAGCGGGAGUGACGGUAAUGGGUAAAGAAGCACCGGCUAACUACGUG